rnacentral:lncRNA from 1 species
CACCUCCUCCUGCCAGUCCAGCUGCUGCCGCCCGGCCUCCUGCGUGUCCCUCCUCUGCCGCCCCGCAAGCUCCCGCCUGGCCUGCUACAGCCUCUGCUCAGGCAAGAAGUCCAGCUGCUGAGUGCUCAAUCCUUGUCUCCUGCUGACUGUGUCUUUGCUGCCAAGCAGGAUUCUCCAGUCUCAGGAGCCCCUGGAGUCCUCAGAAUCCACCAGCUCCAUCAGUAGCCACAGAGCUGCUGCCUGAAGGGGAUUUUGAGCGCGUCACACUUUCCUCCCCACUGUCUGGGAAGAGACAACCCACAAAUCCCUCAGCAGGUGGACUGUGGCUUUCUGGAGCCCCCUUCUCCAAAUGUGUUGCUUAUACCCAAUGUGACAAAGAAGAACUGCUCUAAUCAAUAAAUUCUUGAGUCAGGAAAUACGGGC